CCAGAGACAAUGCACCCCCACAAGAAAAUGCUUAUUAACCUAAGUAAGUCUGUGAUCCAAUGGACUUUUUGUCAAGGUGAUAAAGGAGGUUGGAAAAAAUGCAUACAGUGCAGAUCUGGGGAUUUUCCAGGUCAUGAGGGAGUCAUGUAUGAGGAGGUUCCCCAGCUUUCCCAGAUCAGCCCUGUCCUACUGCAUAAUCAGACCACACACUUUGAGAAAUGUUCACUGCUUUCCUCGAGUCCCUACAGCAUGGGCUGUCAAAUGCAUGAGUCCCUGGAAGGGAAGGUGACUGGGCUAAAGGAAUCAUUUGGCCAAAAGUGCAUUUUUAAAAGAACAGCCUGGUGGUGUGAACUGGGCUCUCUGGGGAUUCAAGCAUGAGUCGCUGCAGUUUGAGGAACCCUGAUCUCUGCCAGACUGCUCAAAGCUCUGACCAGGAGAAGAUGGAGGCUCAGGGGAGGUUGAGAGGCCCGUCUAUCUCUUCUCAUCUCUCCACAUCUUGUAGUAGGGAUAUUGGUGUGAAGAUGUUUCUGGCAAGUGUCACUGAGCUGUUACACGUAAUAAAACUGCUUAUAAAUUAUAA
rnacentral:lncRNA from 1 species